rnacentral:rRNA from 1 species
CAGUCGAACGGACUUACAUUGAAGCCUAGCGAUAUGUAAGUUAGUGGCGGACGGGUGUGUAACGCGUGGGUAACCUGCCUUGUACUGGGGGACAACAGUUGGAAACGACUGCUAAUACCGCAUAAGCGCACAGCUUCGCAUGAAGCAGUGUGAAAAACUCCAGUGGUACAAGAUGGACCCGCGUCUGAUUAGCUGGUUGGUGAGGUAACGGCCCACCAAGGCGACGAUCAGUAGCCGGCCUGAGAGGGUGAACGGCCACAUUGGGACUGAGACACGGCCCAAACUCCUACGGGAGGCAGCAGUGGGGAAUAUUGCACAAUGGGGGAAACCCUGAUGCAGCAACGCCGCGUGAGUGAAGAAGUAUUUCGGUAUGUAAAGCUCUAUCAGCAGGAAAGAAAAUGACGGUACCUGACUAAGAAGCCCCGGCUAACUACGUGCCAGCAGCCGCGGUAAUACGUAGGGGGCAAGCGUUAUCCGGAUUUACUGGGUGUAAAGGGAGCGUAGACGGUUUUGCAAGUCUGAAGUGAAAGCCCGGGGCUUAACCCCGGGACUGCUUUGGAAACUGUAGAACUAGAGUGCAGGAGAGGUAAGUGGAAUUCCUAGUGUAGCGGUGAAAUGCGUAGAUAUUAGGAGGAACACCAGUGGCGAAGGCGGCUUACUGGACUGUAACUGACGUUGAGGCUCGAAAGCGUGGGGAGCAAACAGGAUUAGAUACCCUGGUAGUCCACGCCGUAAACGAUGAUUACUAGGUGUUGGUGGGUACGACCCAUCGGUGCCGCAGCAAACGCAAUAAGUAAUCCACCUGGGGAGUACGUUCGCAAGGAUGAAACUCAA